rnacentral:rRNA from 1 species
CGCCAGACUCCUACGGGAGGCAGCAGUGGGGAAUAUUGCACAAUGGGGGAAACCCUGAUGCAGCGACGCCGCGUGAGCGAUGAAGUAUUUCGGUAUGUAAAGCUCUAUCAGCAGGGAAGAAAAUGACGGUACCUGACUAAGAAGCCCCGGCUAACUACGUGCCAGCAGCCGCGGUAAUACGUAGGGGGCAAGCGUUAUCCGGAUUUACUGGGUGUAAAGGGAGCGUAGACGGCUGUGCAAGCCAGAUGUGGAAGCCCGGGGCUCAACCCCGGGACUGCAUUUGGAACUGUGUGGCUGGAGUGUCGGAGAGGCAGGCGGAAUUCCUAGUGUAGUGGUGAAAUGCGUAGAUAUUAGGAGGAACACCAGUGGCGAAGGCGGCCUGCUGGACGAUGACUGACGUUGAGGCUCGAAAGCGUGGGGAGCAAACAGGAUUAGAUACCCGUGUA